rnacentral:rRNA from 1 species
CUACGGGUCGCUGCAGUGGGGAAUAUUGCACAAUGGGCGCAAGCCUGAUGCAGCCAUGCCGCGUGUAUGAAGAAGGCCUUCGGGUUGUAAAGUACUUUCAGCGGGGAGGAAGGGAGUAAAGUUAAUACCUUUGCUCAUUGACGUUACCCGCAGAAGAAGCACCGGCUAACUCCGUGCCAGCAGCCGCGGUAAUACGGAGGGUGCAAGCGUUAAUCGGAAUUACUGGGCGUAAAGCGCACGCAGGCGGUUUGUUAAGUCAGAUGUGAAAUCCCCGGGCUCAACCUGGGAACUGCAUCUGAUACUGGCAAGCUUGAGUCUCGUAGAGGGGGGUAGAAUUCCAGGUGUAGCGGUGAAAUGCGUAGAGAUCUGGAGGAAUACCGGUGGCGAAGGCGGCCCCCUGGACGAAGACUGACGCUCAGGUACGAAAGCGUGGGGAUCAAACAGGAUUAGAUACCCCCGUAGUC